AUUGAACGCUGGCGGCAUGCUUUACACAUGCAAGUCGAGCGGCAGCGCGGGGGCAACCCUGGCGGCGAGCGGCGAACGGGUGAGGAAUACAUCGGAACGUGCCCGAGAGUGGGGGAUAACGCCGCGAAAGCGGCGCUAAUACCGCAUAUUCUCCGAGGAGGAAAGUGGGGGACCGCAAGGCCUCACGCUCACGGAGCGGCCGAUGUCGGAUUAGCUAGUUGGUGGGGUAAAGGCUUACCAAGGCGACGAUCCGUAGCUGGUCUGAGAGGAUGAUCAGCCACACUGGGACUGAGACACGGCCCAGACUCCUACGGGAGGCAGCAGUGGGGAAUUUUGGACAAUGGGGGCAACCCUGAUCCAGCCAUGCCGCGUGCGGGAAGAAGGCCUCGGUUGUAACCGCUUUAACCGGUAAGAAAGGACGAUCUCUUAAUACGGGUGUUCUUGACGGUACCGGUGGAAUAAGCACCGGCUAACUACGUG
rnacentral:rRNA from 1 species